AGUCAGAGGCGAUGAAGGACGUGCUAAUCUGCGAUAAGCGUCGGUAAGGUGAUAUGAACCGUUAUAACCGGCGAUUUCCGAAUGGGGAAACCCAGUGUGUUUCGACACACUAUCAUUAACUGAAUCCAUAGGUUAAUGAGGCGAACCGGGGGAACUGAAACAUCUAAGUACCCCGAGGAAAAGAAAUCAACCGAGAUUCCCCCAGUAGCGGCGAGCGAACGGGGAGCAGCCCAGAGCCUGAAUCAGUGUGUGUGUUAGUGGAAGCGUCUGGAAAGGCGCGCGAUACAGGGUGACAGCCCCGUACACAAAAAUGCACAUGCUGUGAGCUCGAUGAGUAGGGCGGGACACGUGGUAUCCUGUCUGAAUAUGGGGGGACCAUCCUCCAAGGCUAAAUACUCCUGACUGACCGAUAGUGAACCAGUACCGUGAGGGAAAGGCGAAAAGAACCCCGGCGAGGGGAGUGAAAAAGAACCUGAAACCGUGUACGUACAAGCAGUGGGAGCACGCUUAGGCGUGUGACUGCGUACCUUUUGUAUAAUGGGUCAGCGACUUAUAUUCUGUAGCAAGGUUAACCGAAUAGGGGAGCCGAAGGGAAACCGAGUCUUAACUGGGCGUUAAGUUGCAGGGUAUAGACCCGAAACCCGGUGAUCUAGCCAUGGGCAGGUUGAAGGUUGGGUAACACUAACUGGAGGACCGAACCGACUAAUGUUGAAAAAUUAGCGGAUGACUUGUGGCUGGGGGUGAAAGGCCAAUCAAACCGGGAGAUAGCUGGUUCUCCCCGAAAGCUAUUUAGGUAGCGCCUCGUGAAUUCAUCUCCGGGGGUAGAGCACUGUUUCGGCAAGGGGGUCAUCCCGACUUACCAACCCGAUGCAAACUGCGAAUACCGGAGAAUGUUAUCACGGGAGACACACGGCGGGUGCUAACGUCCGUCGUGAAGAGGGAAACAACCCAGACCGCCAGCUAAGGUCCCAAAGUCAUGGUUAAGUGGGAAACGAUGUGGGAAGGCCCAGACAGCCAGGAUGUUGGCUUAGAAGCAGCCAUCAUUUAAAGAAAGCGUAAUAGCUCACUGGUCGAGUCGGCCUGCGCGGAAGAUGUAACGGGGCUAAACCAUGCACCGAAGCUGCGGCAGCGACGCUGAUGCGUUGUUGGGUAGGGGAGCGUUCUGUAAGCCUGCGAAGGUGUGCUGUGAGGCAUGCUGGAGGUAUCAGAAGUGCGAAUGCUGACAUAAGUAACGAUAAAGCGGGUGAAAAGCCCGCUCGCCGGAAGACCAAGGGUUCCUGUCCAACGUUAAUCGGGGCAGGGUGAGUCGACCCCUAAGGCGAGGCCGAAAGGCGUAGUCGAUGGGAAACAGGUUAAUAUUCCUGUACUUGGUGUUACUGCGAAGGGGGGACGGAGAAGGCUAUGUUGGCCGGGCGACGGUUGUCCCGGUUUAAGCGUGUAGGCUGGUUUUCCAGGCAAAUCCGGAAAAUCAAGGCUGAGGCGUGAUGACGAGGCACUACGGUGCUGAAGCAACAAAUGCCCUGCUUCCAGGAAAAGCCUCUAAGCAUCAGGUAACAUCAAAUCGUACCCCAAACCGACACAGGUGGUCAGGUAGAGAAUACCAAGGCGCUUGAGAGAACUCGGGUGAAGGAACUAGGCAAAAUGGUGCCGUAACUUCGGGAGAAGGCACGCUGAUAUGUAGGUGAAGUCCCUCGCGGAUGGAGCUGAAAUCAGUCGAAGAUACCAGCUGGCUGCAACUGUUUAUUAAAAACACAGCACUGUGCAAACACGAAAGUGGACGUAUACGGUGUGACGCCUGCCCGGUGCCGGAAGGUUAAUUGAUGGGGUUAGCGCAAGCGAAGCUCUUGAUCGAAGCCCCGGUAAACGGCGGCCGUAACUAUAACGGUCCUAAGGUAGCGAAAUUCCUUGUCGGGUAAGUUCCGACCUGCACGAAUGGCGUAAUGAUGGCCAGGCUGUCUCCACCCGAGACUCAGUGAAAUUGAACUCGCUGUGAAGAUGCAGUGUACCCGCGGCAAGACGGAAAGACCCCGUGAACCUUUACUAUAGCUUGACACUGAACAUUGAGCCUUGAUGUGUAGGAUAGGUGGGAGGCUUAGAAGUGUGGACGCCAGUCUGCAUGGAGCCGACCUUGAAAUACCACCCUUUAAUGUUUGAUGUUCUAACGUUGACCCGUAAUCCGGGUUGCGGACAGUGUCUGGUGGGUAGUUUGACUGGGGCGGUCUCCUCCUAAAGAGUAACGGAGGAGCACGAAGGUUGGCUAAUCCUGGUCGGACAUCAGGAGGUUAGUGCAAUGGCAUAAGCCAGCUUGACUGCGAGCGUGACGGCGCGAGCAGGUGCGAAAGCAGGUCAUAGUGAUCCGGUGGUUCUGAAUGGAAGGGCCAUCGCUCAACGGAUAAAAGGUACUCCGGGGAUAACAGGCUGAUACCGCCCAAGAGUUCAUAUCGACGGCGGUGUUUGGCACCUCGAUGUCGGCUCAUCACAUCCUGGGGCUGAAGUAGGUCCCAAGGGUAUGGCUGUUCGCCAUUUAAAGUGGUACGCGAGCUGGGUUUAGAACGUCGUGAGACAGUUCGGUCCCUAUCUGCCGUGGGCGCUGGAGAACUGAGGGGGGCUGCUCCUAGUACGAGAGGACCGGAGUGGACGCAUCACUGGUGUUCGGGUUGUCAUGCCAAUGGCACUGCCCGGUAGCUAAAUGCGGAAGAGAUAAGUGCUGAAAGCAUCUAAGCACGAAACUUGCCCCGAGAUGAGUUCUCCCUGACUCCUUGAGAGUCCUGAAGGAACGUUGAAGACGACGACGUUGAUAGGCCGGGUGUGUAAGCGCAGCGAUGCGUUGAGCUAACCGGUACUAAUGAACCGUGAGGCUUAACCU
rnacentral:rRNA from 1 species